rnacentral:rRNA from 1 species
CGCGUAGGCGGUAAUGUAAGUCAGAUGUGAAAUACUCAGGCUCAACCAGAGAACAGCAUCUGAAACUGCAUAACUAGAGUACAGAAGAGGGAAACGGAAUUCCCGGUGUAGAGGUGAAAUUCGUAGAUAUCGGGAGGAACACCAGUGGCGAAGGCGGUUUCCUGGUCUGAUACUGACGCUGAGGCGCGAAAGCGUGGGGAGCAAACAG